GUUCAUCUCAGCCUAUGCUACCCUCCAGUCCCUCAACUUCUUGGCGCUGACGGAAACAAGGAUUACCACAGAUAUCACUGCCUCUCCUACUGCUCUCUCCUCGUCUGCCCACGUGUUCUUGCAUACCCCGAGAGCAUCUGGCCAGCGGGGUUCCCUUGGAGAGUUCAUCAAUGAGCUUGAUAAGUUCCUUUCCUGAGGAUGGCUCACCUCUCACAGUUCUGGACCAUUUCCGGAGACCUUCUCCCUUACCUCACCUCGCUCAUCAACUCAUCCUUGACCGCUUGCUACGUCCCUUCCGUCUUCAAGAGAGCGAGAGUUGCACCCCUUCUGAAAAAACCUACACUCGAUCCCUCCGAUGUCAACAACUACAGACCAACUCAUCCUGCUGCUGAUGACGACGAUGACCUUGACACCAGCGUCAGUAGUACAGAGCCUGUAGACCCAUUGGAUGAAUGCUUUCAGACUGGAAUAAGCUCAAGCUCAACAUCAUCUGACUUUGAAACAAGCCAGGACAGCCAAAGGAGACUUGCAGUACAAAUCAAAGCAUUGGGAAGUGAAGAAAGUGUACGAGAGGCUUGUCCACCUGGCUGUGGAGUGCAGAAAGGACCAGACGGUUGUCUACAAGGAGCCUGAGUCACAGCUCCCCAAACCCAACAUCCCUUCCAACAUCGCCACAGCACCAAAGCCUGCGAAAACAGCUUCCAUUACGCAGCACAAGAAGAGGUUCACCAGUUGAAGAACAUUCUGGAACCUGCUUGGAACAUUCAACCAACACAACACCUUAUUCAGUUAAACUCUUGUUGUAGUAUAAUAUUGUAUGUUCAUUACUGCAUUGUGCUAUAUAUAUAUAGCUGUUGUACAUAUGUAUAUAAUGGUGUCGUAUGUGAUAUUUUGUACAAGUGUACUGACAAGUGACUAAAUGGAAUUCCAGCUGUAUCAGAAACCAAUAAAGUGUUGGAUCAAUUCAUUGUGAUCCCUUACGAAAAAAGAUUGCAGUCAGAAUGCAGUAUAACUGUGGUACACUGCAGUAUAACUGUAGUUAGA
rnacentral:lncRNA from 1 species